AUGACCCGAGUGAAGAGUAGCUACUACGUACUGCCUGGAGAAGAAGAACCAAACCGAACUGUGCACAAUACUCAUAGCAUUGGGAAGGUAAUGUUUCUAACAGCUGUAGCCAAACCUCGCUACAAUGAAGAUGGGGAGAUGACAUUUGAUGGAAAACUUGGCAUUUGGCUGUUCGUGGUACAGACCGAGGCACAACGAACAAGCCAGAACAGAGAUAGGGGGACAAUAGAGUUGAAGCCGGUCAAAGUUACUAGACCUGUG
rnacentral:rRNA from 1 species